rnacentral:rRNA from 1 species
AGAGUUUGAUCCUGGCUCAGGAUGAACGCUAGCGGCAGGCCUAAUACAUGCAAGUCGAGGGGCAGCACAGGUAGCAAUACUGGGUGGCGACCGGCAAACGGGUGCGGAACACGUACGCAACCUUCCUUCAAGCGGGGAAUAGCCCAGAGAAAUUUGGAUUAAUACCCCAUAGGAAUGUAGUCUCGCAUGAGACAGCAUUUAAAGAUUUAUCACUUGAAGAUGGGCGUGCGUCUGAUUAGGUAGUUGGUGAGGUAAUGGCUCACCAAGCCGACGAUCAGUAACUGGCGUGAGAGCGCGACCAGUCACACGGGCACUGAGACACGGGCCCGACUCCUACGGGAGGCAGCAGUAAGGAAUAUUGGUCAGUGGACGCAAGUCUGAACCAGCCAUGCCGCGUGGGGGAUGAAUGCCCUCUGGGU